rnacentral:tRNA from 1 species
CAUACUUGCUCACUGGUAGAGCAUUACUCUCAUAAAGUAACUUUAGUAGGUUCGAUUCCUGCGUAUG